GUUUUGUUUUGCAUUUAUCUCUUUGCAAUCCUGCAGUGAAAUUCCAGAGCACAGGGACAAUGUUUCAUUUAUAUUCGAUUCUGUAGUGUCUGGCAUAAGGCUGUGGCACACAGUAAGCGCUCAAUAAAUACUGAACACAAUACAAAGGUUCUGGAAAAGAUGGCAGAGUGUGACACAGCGGCUCAAAUUUACAUUCAUUCAUUGUCAAAAUACUUGUACCAAAGCAGUACAAGUGUAUCCGAGGUGACUUGAAGCAUGAUUAAUAUUUUGGUCAAAUCUCAAAGGGAAAAAAUUGUGUAAUAGCUCAUCUCACUUCUCAUCCAUUCUUGUGUCAGUUAAAUCCACAGGAAUUGCUGUUGGUCCUUUAACUUUGUGCAUCUUGUCCUCGAGUAGCACUGAGGCUACUGAAUUCAUUGAGUGUUUCUGGAUGUUGAUUUAAACAUUGACUUUGCUGUAGUGAAAAGAACUUGGAAAGAAGGAACCUGCGUUCAAGUCCUGAUCCUGUCACAGCCCAAAUACACCAGAGCAGCUGUGCAGCCUGGGUCCUUCCUACUCAGAGUGUGGCCCGUGGCCCAGCAGCACCAGCUUCACCUGGAGCUUGUUGGAUGUGCAGAAUCGCAGUCUCACCCCCCAGCCCUACUGGAUCAGAGGCUGCCUGUUGACAAGGUCCCAGAUGACUGCAUGUUACAGCUUGAGAAGCACUGUCUACACAGCGCUGAAGGGGUGAGCGUGUUCCUUUCUUAUCGCUGCGGUAAUAAAUCUCCACAAACCGACUGCUUGAAACAACAAGUGUAUGAUCAUACAGUUCUGGAGGCAGAAGUCCUAAACUCAAGGUGUGGGCAGGGCUGGUUCCUUCCCGGGCUCCAGGGGAGUUUCAUCUCCUUGACUUUCCAGCUCCUGGAGGCGCUGCAUCCUAGGCUCGUGGCCCCUCCCCCCGUCGCUCUGACCACUGCCUCUGGCUUCAACCUUCCUCUCUGACUCUGACUCCCCGGCCUCCCUCUUUCACUCACAGGGCCUUUGUGAUGGCAGUGGGCCGCCGGAUAACCCAGGAUACCCUUCCCUCCUCAAGUUCUUAAACUUUAAUCGCUUCUACAAAAGUCCCUUUUGUCGUGUAAAGUAACAUAUUCACAGGGGGAUUAGGACACGGGCAUCUCUGAGGGACCAUUGUUCUGUCUGUAACAGAUUCCGUGCGACUAAUCUUUGCUCAGUGGAUCAGAAAUCUAUUUCAAAACAGUGGCAGCUGAAUGACAUGCUCGCAUUAACUGGCUGAUUCCAUCAUUUGUAUCCUCAGUGUUUCAGGGCCUAAAUGCUGCGCAACGAUUCACUUAUGUUUUUUGUCCUCACUCUCUUCCACUCCCACCCCCCGAACUCCUCUCUCUUCUGCGUGCCCGCCCCACAUUUCACCUUUACUCUCAACGAAUGACUUGGCCUCCCGUUUCACAGAGAAGUUACAGUCUAUCAGACAUUUUUGCUUGAAAAUGCUGCACCACGCGGCACGCGGAAUUUCCCUGACCAGGGAUUGAACUCGCAUCCCCUGCAGUGGAAGAGCCAAGUCUUAACCACUGGACCACCAGGAAAGCCCCACCAGACAUUUCUGAUGACAGGUGAUUCUAUAAUAUUUUGGCAUAUAUCCUAGAAGGAGUUUAGGGAAUUACGUAGAAUUGCUA